rnacentral:rRNA from 1 species
UCGAACGGCAGCACGGGAGCAAUCCUGGUGGCGAGUGGCGAACGGGUGAGUAAUACAUCGGAACGUGCCCAAUCGUGGGGGAUAACGCAGCGAAAGCUGUGCUAAUACCGCAUAAAAUCUACGGAUGAAAGCAAGGGAUCGCAAGACCUUGCGCGAAUGGAGCGGCCGAUGGCAGAUUAGGUAGUUGGUGAGGUAAAGGCUCACCAAGCCUUCGAUCUGUAGCUGGUCUGAGAGGACGACCAGCCACACUGGGACUGAGACACGGCCCAGACUCCUACGGGAGGCAGCAGUGGGGAAUUUUGGACAAUGGGCGCAAGCCUGAUCCAGCCAUGCCGCGUGCAGGAUGAAGGCCUUCGGGUUGUAAACUGCUUUUGUACGGAACGAAACGGCCUUUUCUAAUAAAGAGGGCUAAUGACGGUACCGUAAGAAUAAGCACCGGCUAACUACGUGCCAGCAGCCGCGGUAAUACGUAGGGUGCAAGCGUUAAUCGGAAUUACUGGGCGUAAAGCGUGCGCAGGCGGUUAUGUAAGACAGUUGUGAA